GAGUUUGAUCAUGGCUCAGGACGAACGCUGGCGGUGCGCCUUAUGCAUGCAAGUUGAGCGAAGCUUUUUGGUAGUUUACUACUAAAAAUGACUGAGCGGCGAACGGGUGAGUAACGCGUGAGCAAUCUACCUUAGUUACUGGGAUAGCCCGAGGAAACUCGGAUUAAUACCGGAUAUUCUUAUUUUUUCACAUGAAGUUUUAAGGAAAGGUCAGCCGAACUAAGAUGAGCUCGCGUUCUAUCAGCUAGUUGGUGGGGUAAAAGCCUACCAAGGCUACGACGGAUAGCUGGUCUGAGAGGACGAUCAGCCACACUGGGACUGAGACACGGCCCAGACUCCUACGGGAGGCUGCAGCAGGGAAUAUUGUGCAAUGAGCGAAAGCUUGACACAGCGACACCGCGUGUGGGAUGACGGUUCUAGGAUUGUAAACCACUUUCAGGAGGGAAGAAAAUGACGGUACCUCCACAAGAAGACCCGGCCAACUAUGUGCCAGCAGCCGCGGUAAUACAUAGGGGUCAAGCGUUGUCCGGAUUUAUUGGGCGUAAAGAGCUCGUAGGCGGUUCAACAAGUCGGUCGUAAAAGUUUAGGGCUCAACCCUAAAAUGUCGAUCGAUACUGUUGUGACUAGGAUACGGUAGAGGUGAAUGGAAUUCCGAGUGUAGCGGUGAAAUGCGUAGAUAUUCGGAGGAACACCAAUUGCGAAGGCAGUUCACUGGACCGUGAUCGACGCUGAGGAGCGAAAGCUAGGGGAGCAAACAGGAUUAGAUACCCUGGGUAGUCCUAGCUGUAAACGAUGGAUACUAGAUGUAGGAACUGGAUUGACGGUUUCUGUAUCGUAGCUAACGCGUUAAGUAUCCCGCCUGGGG
rnacentral:rRNA from 1 species